GAUGAACGCUGGCGGCGUGCCUAAUACAUGCAAGUCGAACGCGCAGCGAGAGGUGCUUGCACCUUUCAAGCGAGUGGCGAACGGGUGGGUAACACGUGGAUAACCUGCCUCAAGGCUGGGGAUAACAUUUGGAAACAGAUGCUAAUACCGAAUAAAACUUAGCAUCGCAUGAUAUCAAGUUAAAAGGCGCUACGGCGUCACCUAGAGAUGGAUCCGCGGUGCAUUAGUUAGUUGGUGGGGUAAAGGCUUACCAAGACGAUGAUGCAUAGCCGAGUUGAGAGACUGAUCGGCCACAUUGGGACUGAGACACGGCCCAAACUCCUACGGGAGGCUGCAGUAGGGAAUCUUCCACAAUGGGCGCAAGCCUGAUGGAGCAACGCCGCGUGUGUGAUGAGGGCUUUCGGGUCGUAAAGCACUGUUGUAUGGGAAGAAAUGCUAAAAUAGGGAAUGAUUUUAGUUUGACGGUACCAUACCAGAAAGGGACGGCUAAAUACGUGCCAGCAGCCGCCGUAAGAC
rnacentral:rRNA from 1 species